GAUCCUCCCACCCUUUGUGUACCUACCUCUGUUGCUUUGGCGGGCCGCGGUUCUCCGCGGCCGCCCCCCUCCCCGGGGGGUGGCCAGCGCCCGCCAGAGGACCAUCAAACUCCAGUCAGUAAACGAUGCAGUCUGAAAAACAUUUAAUAAACUAAAACUUUCAACAACGGAUCUCUUGGUUCUGGCAUCGAUGAAGAACGCAGCGAAAUGCGAUAAGUAAUGUGAAUUGCAGAAUUCAGUGAAUCAUCGAAUCUUUGAACGCACAUUGCGCCCUUUGGUAUUCCGAAGGGCAUGCCUGUUCGAGCGUCAUUACAACCCUCAAGCUCUGCUUGGUAUUGGGCACCGUCCUUUGCGGGCGCGCCUCAAAGACCUCGGCGGUGGCGUCUUGCCUCAAGCGUAGUAGAACAUACAUCUCGCUUCGGAGCGCAGGGCGUCGCCCGCCGGACGAACCUUCUGAACUUUUCUCAAGGUUGACCUCGGAUCAGGUAAGGAUACCCGCUGAACUUAAGCAUAUCA
rnacentral:rRNA from 1 species